AUGAUAAACAAACUUGUGGAUUUAGGAACUGCCCAUCUAUUCAUGCGGAUGCAGGAGAAAAACAGGGGAAAGUGCGGGAACCUUUUGAAAACAGCAACCAAGAGAAUUGUCCAUUUGCGGUUUAAGCUGCAACUUUUGUUCCAGCCACACAGAGACUACCACAGCUCUGGUGUCAGGAGUCAACAACAGGCGCAGUUAGACGAGGUCAUGCUGUCAGAACAUCUGGGGAACUUGAACAGCUUUGGAUCGGUUGCAGAGUCAGCAAGACAACAUUUGGUUGUGUCUGCCAAUCGUCUCCUGCGGUUUGAGGAUGAAACAGAAAAAGAGGUGGAGACUCGUUAUUUGGAACGUUGGAGCCAAAGGAGACAGGAAAUGCAGCGGAGAGCAGGAGUCCUGGUGUCCAAACCCGACUUAGAGAGUUUGAAAGCAGGACUGGAGCUCAGACAGGGGAAGUCUCCUGCUGUCGGGAGGCUGAGAGGACAAACAGUGAUGAGAGAAUUGGGUAAGAUUAACCCUGGUGUGAGAGUGUCAGGGGGAGGAGUCAUACUAGACCUGAGCCUUAAUGAAGACCCUCCUAUGAUUGAAGAGAGACAGAAGAGCCUAAACAGGAAGCAACUGAGGCUGCGGACAGAGCCGCUCAGAGAGACCUACAUCGGCUGUGUCACGCCUUCUGACACAGGGAGACAAGGAGAAAAGACUUGUCGGGAAUCGUGUGCCCAAGUGAGACAAAGGACCACUCACAGUGAAAUGUUUGGAUCUCCGCAGACCGCCUCACAACCUCUUCUACUCAUAGAUCCACCAACAGGUUCUGAAUCCUCCUGCAGUGAUGCUCCACACGUUCAUGUUUCAUGCUCUCCCUCAUUCAGACGACCUUUGUCUUUAUCCAGUCCUUCUAAAACAUCAGUGAUGCCACAGAGGAACGCGUCCAAUUCAAGGAAGCAGGGAAAGGACUUGAACCAGAAUCAAGACAGACAAAGGACACCUUCCUGUCAAAGGGUCCACAGACAUCUUGGAACCGGGCCAGAGCUCAUGGAGAAGGUCCCUUUUCUGGAGAAGAAAAGCCGUGAACCGAACCCUGCUGCCAGACCCUCCUCAUCAGGAACGAGUUUGGAGAUGAAAGCAGGUAAUCAAACUCCUCCUGCUCUGGCCAUCAGGGACGGAUCCUCCACGAAAUCACUGAGAUCCGAGUUUCCCACAGAGGAGGACUCACAUUCUGAGCGCAGACAGAGCAGGAGUCGAACCCGCAGUCUGGAUCGGCUUCCUUCAAAGACCCAACCUCCCGUCAGCGGUCCAACCCAUUUAGGAGACCUGAGGUCCUGCGGCUUUCUGAAGACCCCCCCCUCUGUUCGGUGGUUCUGUGAGGUAUGUCUGCAACUGACUCCCAACAACAGCUCGACGGAGGUUUCAGUCUGACUGUCUGUCUGCUUCUCUGCAGGGCUCAAACAUCUUCCCAAUGACCAAGUUCUCCUCUGUUUUCAAUGUUUGGUCAGAACAGAACUGCUCCACUGACGGCAGAUCAGCUGAUGACCACUGAGCACUUCCUGUUAACCCUUUAACAGAGCAGUUCCGGUCUUUAUGUUCUUUGAUAUACUGUAGAUUGUGAAUGAGAAAAGCGGCUAAUGCCGGAGUCAUAAAUAAACGUUGUGAAAUGUUCGUAUUAAUUCGAUUUUGACUUUGUGAAAUCUGAGACGUCAUAUCCGGCGUUUAAAAUCCAGGGCACUAGAUAGUUCUGCACUAUAUAGUUUUUUAGUAGUUAGAGGGGAAUUCAGACACAACCAUAGAGAUUGAAGUUGUUUCUUACUCUGUUUACAUUCCCAUAAUGCUGCUUUGAUCCAGUUGUUCUGAUCCGAGCAUGGAGUCUAUUCAGACUGAGGAAACUCGGAGUGAACCUGAGCUCAGUCCGAUUGGAAACGAAUCGAAACUACCUCAAACGAUGGGUCCGAGAGCGGCUCCUGGUCCCGCAUCAGGGUCCGCUUGGGUGUAAUCAUGCUGAAAACAAACUGAUUCACUUUAAGCAAACCAAAUGUGACAUCCUAAAUGUUGAUAAAAUACAUAAAAAACCUUUAAAAUAUUGAAAUCGUGUAACACAAGAUAGAUAGAGGAUUUUGUCUGCAGAACAAAGCCAGAGAAGUGAAGAACGCCACCGUGAGUCUAGAACAGAACAUAAACAUUCUGAAAUUGUAUUUCUAUACCGGGCAAUCCUCUGCCGAGGUUUGGGUUUGACGGUGGCAUAAAGGAUUGAUGCUUGUCAGAUUGCAAGUGUGAAGUUCAGUGAUGGGAAAACUGACUGACUGGAAGAAGAAUCCUGUCAGUCAUCUACUGACCCAGAAGCUGCAGGAUGAGCACACCAAAACUCUUCAAAACAUGAGAUCUUGCAAGUCUGUUCCAGAACUGAACGAGCAGCACAUUUAUCUGUAUCUCAUUAGUGUUUGUUUUUAAUCUGUACAUAUUCAUAAAUGGGUUUAUUUUUGUGUUUUUGGGGAUUUUAUGCUCACAGAAACACCUAACAGUCCCAC
rnacentral:lncRNA from 1 species